UACGGAGGGUGCAAGCGUUAAUCGGAAUUACUGGGCGUAAAGCGCACGCAGGUGGCUGAGUCAGUCGAUUGUGAAAGCCCUGGGCUUAACCUGGGAAUUGCAGUCGAUACUACUCAGCUAGAGUAUGGGGAGAGGGUAGUGGAAUUCCCGGUGUAGCGGUGAAAUGCGCAGAUAUCAGGAGGAACACCGAUGGCGAAGGCAGGUCUCUGGGCAUUAACUGACGCUGAGGAGCGAAAGCAUGGGGAGCGAACAGG
rnacentral:rRNA from 1 species